rnacentral:rRNA from 1 species
CUUAGUGGCGAACGGGUGAGUAACGCGUGGGUACCUGCCUUGUACAGGGGGAUAACAGUUGGAAACGGCUGCUAAUACCGCAUAAGAUCGCAUGAUAAAAACUCCGGUGGUAUAAGAUGGACCCGCGUUGGAUUAGCUAGUUGGUGAGGUAACGGCCCACCAAGGCGACGAUCCAUAGCCGACCUGAGAGGGUGACCGGCCACAUUGGGACUGAGACACGGCCCAAACUCCUACGGGAGGCAGCAGUGGGGAAUAUUGCACAAUGGGCGAAAGCCUGAUGCAGCGACGCCGCGUGAGCGAAGAAGUAUUUCGGUAUGUAAAGCUCUAUCAGCAGGGAAGAUAAUGACGGUACCUGACUAAGAAGCACCGGCUAAAUACGUGCCAGCAGCCGCGGUAAUACGUAUGGUGCAAGCGUUAUCCGGAUUUACUGGGUGUAAAGGGAGCGCAGGCGGUGCGGCAAGUCUGAUGUGAAAGCCCGGGGCUCAACCCCGGUACUGCAUUGGAAACUGUCGUACUAGAGUGUCGGAGGGGUAAGCGGAAUUCCUAGUGUAGCGGUGAAAUGCGUAGAUAUUAGGAGGAACACCAGUGGCGAAGGCGGCUUACUGGACGAUAACUGACGCUGAGGCUCGAAAGCGUGGGGAGCAAA